UCAUACACGUCAUUCACAUUGUUUUUGUUCUAAACGUUUCCACUUUCUUAAUUUUACCGUUCACGGACGAUGCUCAAAGACGAAGCAUCAAAGGGAGUAUUGUCGUCGGCGGCUGAUUCCGAUGAUCGAUCCCACCCUGAUUCGUAGCUCUAGCUCUGGCCCAGCUUCUACUUCAUCUGUCUCUUCCUCAGGUGUCUGUAGAGGCCUCCGCGACAAUACCGAGACGGAAACAUUUGAGCCGGCGGCACUGCUACAGGUACGGUUGGGGAUAUGGUUAUGGUCUUACGUUAGAGAAGAGAUCUUCUCAUGGAAGGAAGUGGAAUGGAAAGCAUAUCUAAGGGAUUCUCAGAGGAGAGUUUAAGCAGUGGAAAAUUACUCUUGGAACGUGUGAUCCAUCACCUAUGAUGGCUAAUCAGUUUUAUGAUCUUGCAACAGAGAAUCAUAUCUUCCAAUUAUACCAUCGAAAGCUUAAGGCCAGGCUCAAGUCUUUUCCAAAGCGUUGCAGGUAAGAUUAACUUUGGUCAUUUUCACCAUCAUGCAUAUAUCACAUUCAUAUUUUACUAUUGAAAUGAAUCUCUUCUGGCAUAGUAAUAUAUCAGAAUGAUAACCAGUGUAUUGUGUUAUCAAUCUUUGGCCUAGAAAACAUGAAUCUCUAAACAGAUUGCAUAAGAGAAUUUGCAGAUAUUGAUUUAUAGUUCCGGAGUUUGGUAGCAAUUGGCUUGUUGGUUAGUUCUCAAAUCACUAAGUUCUUCCGUUCAAGAACAAUAUGUAUAUAUGGUUGUUGGUUACAGAUUUUUUUCCAAUACAAAUGCUUGUUGGCCUCGUGAAGAAUAUAGCAAAUUAGCAAUAGCUUUUAGGUGGAAGUUGGUGCUGAUAUCGAUUUUGUGAUUUGCCAACUUUAGAAGGACACUUGUGACACCGCCAAUAUUAGGAUUGUUUUGAAUGUAAAUUUUAUUCAAUUUUAUUACUCGACUAAUUUUUCUAACAGAACAUCAUAUUUCUACUAAUCAAAAUUUGCACAAAAAGUAUUAAUAAAAUUAAAUUUAAACAAAUAACUAUUACCAAACAGAAUAAAACUUAAUAAAUAAAUAUUCAAUAAUAACACAAGUAACUCUCCAGAACAUGACACAUCAGAUUUUUAGAAGUUUGUGAGAUUGCCAUGUCAAUAAAUGAAAAAACUAUGAAAACCAAUCAAAUCAUUUCGUUUCUACACAUCAGUUUUGUCUCGUGCUUUGCCUUUUCUUCUU